UGGGGAAUAUUGCACAAUGGGCGCAAGCCUGAUGCAGCCAUGCCGCGUGUAUGAAGAAGGCCUUCGGGUUGUAAAGUACUUUCAGCGAGGAGGAAGGCGUUGUGGUUAAUAACCGCAACGAUUGACGUUACUCGCAGAAGAAGCACCGGCUAACUCCGUGCCAGCAGCCGCGGUAAUACGGAGGGUGCAAGCGUUAAUCGGAAUUACUGGGCGUAAAGCGCACGCAGGCGGUCUGACAAGUCGGAUGUGAAAUCCCCGGGCUCAACCUGGGAACUGCAUCCGAAACUGGCAGGCUAGAGUCUUGUAGAGGGGGGUAGAAUUCCAGGUGUAGCGGUGAAAUGCGUAGAGAUCUGGAGGAAUACCGGUGGCGAAGGCGGCCCCCUGGACAAAGACUGACGCUCAGGUGCGAAAGCGUGGGGAGCAAACA
rnacentral:rRNA from 1 species